rnacentral:rRNA from 1 species
GGCUCGGGACGAACGCUGGCGGCGUGCCUAACACAUGCAAGUCGAACGGGGAUUUGUUUCGGCAGAAUCCUAGUGGCGAACGGGUGAGUAACGCGUAGGCAACCUGCCCUCCGGCCGGGGACAACACUCCGAAAGGGGUGCUAAUACCGGAUACGAAGUCUGUGCCGCAUGGUACGGAUUUGAAAGAUGGCCUCUGUUUACAAGCUAUCGCCGGGGGAUGGGCCUGCGUCCGAUUAGCUGGUUGGUGGGGUAACGGCCUACCAAGGCGACGAUCGGUAGCCGGUCUGAGAGGAUGAACGGCCACAUUGGGACUGAGACACGGCCCAGACUCCUACGGGAGGCAGCAGUGGGGAAUCUUCCGCAAUGGGCGCAAGCCUGACGGAGCAACGCCGCGUGAGUGAGGAAGUUCUUCGGAACGUAAAGCUCUGUUGUUCCUGACGAACCUCCCCUCUAUCAACAACGGAGGGGACUGACGGUAGGGAACGAGGAAGCCACGGCUAACUACGUGCCAGCAGCUGC